CAAUAGCGUAUAUUAAAGUUGUUGCAGUUAAAAAGCUCGUAGUUGGAUUUGUGGCUGUCACGGGCGGCCUAUCACUUAGUGUUAGUGCUUGCCUGUGUCGCCAUCCUUGGGUGGAGCCCGUGUGGCAUUAGGUUGUCGUGCGGGGAAUGCCCAUCGUUUACUGUGAGAAAAUUAGAGUGUUCAAAGCAGGCUUAUGCCGUUGAAUAUGUUAGCAUGGAAUAAUAAGAUAGGACCUCGGUACUAUUUUGUUGGUUUGCGCACCGAGGUAAUGAUUAAUAGGGACAGUUGGGGGUAUUCGUAUUUCAUUGUCAGAGGUGAAAUUCUUGGAUUUCUGAAAGACGAACUACUGCGAAAGCAUUUACCAAGGAUGUUUUCAUUAA
rnacentral:rRNA from 1 species